rnacentral:rRNA from 1 species
UACGUAGGUGGCAAGCGUUGUCCGGAUUUACUGGGCGUAAAGAGCGCGCAGGCGGUCGUUCAAGUCGCGUGUGAAAGCCCCCGGCUCAACUGGGGAGGGUCACGCGAUACUGAUCGACUCGAAGGCAGGAGAGGGUAGUGGAAUUCCCGGUGUAGUGGUGAAAUGCGUAGAUAUCGGGAGGAAUACCAGUGGCGAAAGCGGCACCCUGGCACUAGCCUGACGCUCAUGUGCGAAGGCGUGGGGAGCGAACGGG